GGGUCAAGCAUGGAUGGAAGAAAUAUUCUUCUGCUACAGAAUUGAUUGGUGUCAUUUACACAACAGUGGCUUGGGGAAUGGUUUUAGACUAGACCACCUAACCUGAAGCAGAUAUUUUACAUUUGCAUAUCAGUAACAAACGGGAUGUCAGUUUUUGGCAGGAUUGACAAGUAUAUAUGGAUAAAGAAAAACUUCAGACACACAUGCUCUUCCUCAUUGCAAGUGAUGAAGUCCCUGAGCACUGGAUGUCUCUAGGAAAGAAAUUAAAUCUUCUGUCUCAGUAACAGUGAACAUUCAUCUUGUUUGCAGUAAAUGCUGUUCCUCUCUGGUCUCAUCUCAGCCCUAGCUCUGGCUAUCUAUCUUCAUUUACUGCAAUGCUGAAACAGACAUAACCACAGACAAAGACAAGAUUGGGGUCUACUGCAUCUUCUGUAAUACUAACCAAUUU